CAAAAAAAAAAAAAAAAAGACUGACUAACUACUGACUGACUGACUGAUGCUUCUGACUCGAGAUUAGAGAUAUCAAAGUCUUGUAUUCUAUCUAUUUUAAGGUGACUGAAUUGAAUACAUAUACCUAGACAAUUCCAAUCAUUGUAUACGACAGACGUCCCAACAUUUGAGGACGUUCCCAUUUGUUCCAUCAUUUAUUUUUGGGUCUCAUGUCUUGUUAAUAAUGUAUAUCUCACGCAACCCAACAGCCUUUCAAAAAUAUGCAAGGGUCAGUUUUUUUUUGUUUCUUUUCUAGCUAGCGGCCAGAGUGGUCAGGUAGUUAGUCAUUAUAAUAAAUAAUGAAUGUUUCUCUUGUUCUGAGUCUUUUUUUACGACUCGCCAUUCAUAUACAUGUACACCAAUAUUAAAACAUUAAAAAUAUUGAAUGU